rnacentral:rRNA from 1 species
CACUCCUACGGGAGGCAGCAGUGGGGAAUAUUGGACAAUGGGCGCAAGCCUGAUCCAGCCAUGCCGCGUGAGUGAUGAAGGCCCUAGGGUUGUAAAGCUCUUUCACCGGUGAAGAUAAUGACGGUAACCGGAGAAGAAGCCCCGGCUAACUUCGUGCCAGCAGCCGCGGUAAUACGAAGGGGGCUAGCGUUGUUCGGAUUUACUGGGCGUAAAGCGCACGUAGGCGGACUAUUAAGUCAGGGGUGAAAUCCCGGGGCUCAACCCCGGAACUGCCUUUGAUACUGGUAGUCGUGAGUUCGAGAGAGGUGAGUGGAAUUCCGAGUGUAGAGGUGAAAUUCGUAGAUAUUCGGAGGAACACCAGUGGCGAAGGCGGCUCACUGGCUCGAUACUGACGCUGAGGUGCGAAAGCGUGGGGAGCAAACAGGAUUAGAUACCCUUGUAGUCCCAUGA